CCUACGGGGAGCAGCAGUGAGGAAUAUUGGUCAAUGGACGAGAGUCUGAACCAGCCAAGUAGCGUGAAGGAUGACUGCCCUAUGGGUUGUAAACUUCUUUUAUAUGGGAAUAAAACGUUCCACGUGUGGGAUUUUGUAUGUACCAUAUGAAUAAGGAUCGGCUAACUCCGUGCCAGCAGCCGCGGUAAUACGGAGGAUCCGAGCGUUAUCCGGAUUUAUUGGGUUUAAAGGGGGCGUAGGUGGAUUGUUAAGUCAGUUGUGAAAGUUUGCGGCUCAACCGUAAAAUUGCAGUUGAAACUGGCAGUCUUGAGUACAGUAGAGGUGGGCGGAAUUCGUGGUGUAGCGGUGAAAUGCUUAGAUAUCACGAAGAACUCCGAUUGCGAAGGCAGUUCACUGGACUGCAACUGACACUGAGGCUCGAAAGUGUGGGUAUCAAACAGGAUUAGAUACCCUAGUAGUC
rnacentral:rRNA from 1 species